UUGAGCCUGCAUCCUCAUAGAUACUAGUCAGAUUCCUUUCAACUGAGGUGCAGUGGUAACUCCAUGUUUGUACCAAUUUUAAAGCUUCUGACAGAGUCAAAAGGGUUGGGAAUCUGAAGCCUAGAAGGCCUGGGUUUCAGCCCUGACUCUGCCACAGACACCCACACAGCCUAACCUAAGUAUCUACGGGUCUAAGCGUUGAGCCCACCAUUGGUAAAUAGGGAUAGCACCUACCCUUGGACCUCACAAGGCUCUUUCCAUUAACAGCAGCGAUAACAUCCAUGGGCUUCACAGUGUAAAAUGGGAAAGAGAGGAUGAUUUGAUGGGGCACUUGGCUGUUCUGGACGCAGAACUAUUCUACAUAGCACGUUAACAGAAUUCAACAUAGGAAACACAUAAGGAGAUUUCCCUCCAAGUUAUAUUUAGACUGCUCAAUUGUAUCCGAAAGGGCAUCUUCAGAGAAUAAUAACAAAUCCAUGUCCCGGUUAUUCCUACCAACGACUUUGUCACACUGUCAGGACCGGAUCAAACCAGGACGCACACGUGGUCCCCCUGCAGCGCCAGCCAAGGGAUGCCGGAAAUGACGUCAGCGAGCGGUGUCCGCCUGCCCCACCCCCUCCGAGGCCGAAAUCUGCGGAAGUUAAACAGCUCGAGGAUGGAGUCGGCGGCGUUAAGUUCCUAAUACGCGCGUUAUUUCCCAAACUCAGAAGGAUGGAAGAGGGCGCUGUGUGGGCAGGGGGCGUCGGGUCCCUCCGGAGCACAGUUAGGUGGGGGGCUGUCCCAUCCACUUGCCCAGGUGCAGUGGCCGCUAAGAAUCCAGCCAAGGCACCAACGCUGCGCCCCACACGCGGGAUGAUUGGGAUGCACAGGGGUGCAGAGUAGAGGGUCUCCGGGCGGUUCUCCACCGACUCCCUAGUGCGUCUCACCACGCGCCAGCCUUGGUGACCGCACUACACGUAUGAACUCCUUUGACCCUCGCAACAGCCGUCGAGAAAGGCACUCCCCCCACCCCCCACCGCGAUUUCCACUUCGCAGACCUGGAAACCGCAUCAGAAAGAGGUGAGGUGACUGCUCCGCAUCCGCAGACCCAGGACGCGGAGCUCUGGCCUCUGGAUGGCGGCGACUGCGCUUCCUUCUCCCUCCAGUUUCAGGCUGGGGGACACUCACCCCAGGGACGCGGGGGCGGGUGUGUGUGUUGGGGGGGUGCUGUAGGAGGGCCCGAGCAUCCUUAAGGGGCGGCUGCUGGAAGGAGAGCCAAAGAUCCAAAGAGGAGGGAGGAAUCCAAGGAUUCGGUGCCUCUAACCUACCUGGGGAACACUCUUCCUCAGAAACAAAGAGUAGUAUUCAAUAAUCAAACUAAGUCGGCUACAGCAAAUGGAACUUUCUGAGCCAGGGAUUGAAUCCGAGCCACAGCUUUGGCAACCCUGGAUCGUCUAACCCACUGCACUGGGCCAGGGAUCAAACCCACUCCUCCACAGCAACCCGAGCCACUGCAUUUGGAUCCUUAACCCACUGUGUCAUGGCAGGAACACAAGAAGGUAUAUUUUCAUCACUGGAAAAAUAAAAAAAAUAAUGUUACAAAAACGUAGACCCUCUCCAUCCUCCACCGCCAGCAGCAGCAAAAACAAAAUCACACACAGAAAAACUAAGAACAUGGUUUGAGGGAGAAGUGAGUUGGAAGCUGAGUUCAAGAUUGUCCUAACCCAGGACAAUUUGGCUUAAAACAGAAAAGGGAAAUGGCCAUAAACAUCUCUCAGGAAGGGUGGGGCCUCUGGUGGAAAGACAACAUCAAGGCACAGGCUAGGAUUUUCACAGGAUUCAUGCUAGCAAAAUGUUAUACAAGAAAGGUAAUUUUUGCAUCCUUGCCCAGACUGCAUUGAGAAAGACUAGUCAGAAAGUUACUGGUAUGGUUUUAAAGUGGUUAAUGCCUUGUUAUUAGGUGAGAACAGGGUGAAAGGGUGAUUCUCAGAACAUCUCAGUGGUCAAAUUCAGUAGGGAAUGGAGAGACAACCUCGCUGGCAUUUAGAGGUACCAAGACUCUACAUGGAAAAGAACAGUCUUUUCCGAUGCCCAAGAAAUUGGCUGAGAGAUGAUUUUGAUGGAAAAGUCCUGAAUGUGAUGAUAUACACGUCCUAUUAGCAUCAUUUAGAAUCAGGAUUCCAACGUUUGAAUACCAACUACCCUAUUUACUCUCUGACUUUUGUAAAAAUUUUAACCUCGUUGAGGGAGUUCCCGUCGUGGCACAGCAGAAAUGAAUCCAACUAGGAACCAUGAGGUUGUGGGUCCAAUCCCUGGCCUCCCUCAGUGGGUUAAGGAUCUGGCACUGCCGUGAGCGUGAGCUGUGGUGUAGGUUGCAGCCGCAGCUCAGAACCCACAUUGCUGUGGCUGUGGCAUGGGCCGGCGGGGCUGCAGCUCUGAUUAGACCCCUAGCUUGGGAACCUCCCUAUACUGUGGGUGCGGCCCUAAAAAGGACCAAAAAAAAGAAAAAAGAAAAAAAAAUUUAACCUCUUUGAGCUUUGGUUUCCUUUAUUUUAAAAAUGUAAAUAUCAAUAGCUACUUCACAGAACUGUUUUAAGGAUUAAAUAAACUUACACAAAAACACUUAAUGCCUGGUACAUACAUCUCAAAAAUGUUUCAAAACAUACCAUAUUACCUACCAUUGGGGGGGAGCUGGGGGAAGGGUCCACAGGACCUUCCUGUACAUUUUUCACAACUUCCUGUGAAUCUGUAAUUAUUUCAAAAUAAAAUGCUUAAAAAAUG